GGCCGCGCCUGCGAACUCACCUGUGCGGAAGGAGGCACGCGGCUGUUCUCAGCCGGCGGGAUCCAGCGGGCAGGUGUGGGUUCGAGCGCGCAGAGCUUCCUGACUUUCGGUCCCCUAGCGCGGGUGUCCAGGCCCGGGGGGUGGGGGGAUUGGCUUGGGGGCUGAGCCCCUCAGGUGGAGCCAUCUCACUGUGUCUCCUUGAAAGCAGGCUCUGAGCAGAGAGAGACACAGAGAUGUGUGGGCGCUUCUCCGGCUGGGGGACGUCCUCCUGCGUGUCACUCUCAGGCGGGCGCAGCCGGCCUGGUGUUGACCGCCGCGUGGGCGCCCCGACCGGCGGAGGGAGAGGGAAGACGAGCGAGUGAGGCAUGUGUGUUCCGCCGAGGACCUACUGACCCUCCGUGAUUUUCCUCAAGUAUGCGCAGUUCGGCUGCGCUUGUGCUCUCUCGAGGGGAGCCACACCAUUAUGGACUCACAGGAACUGGAUUUACUCUCUUGUCUGAAACAAUAAAACAAAACCACACAAGAUAUACAAAAUGCAGAUUUCCAAGAUACUGGGCAUCAGGCAAAAGAGGACAGCAAUUCCACACUUGGAAACACACAGGUGAGCCAAGCCCUACACAACAUAUGUGCUGCCUCGAGACAGUUUCCAAGCAAGGUGCAGGGAGGGGAAACUGAAGAGGCCAGUGGACUAUGUGGAGUUGAGGACACUGAGCUGAGAGUCCACAGGACAAUGUGAUGGGGAGGGCAGAGCUGUGGAAAAUCAAUUAGCAAGAGCUGUUGGGGGGCCCUAAGUAUGCAGCACAGUCCUGCUCUGUGCCUCCAUGGGAGGCAACUCCAGCAAGUCAGGGGGCAAUCUUGUGAAAGGGUUAGAGGGAACAGAGCCUGUACCUCAGCACUGGAAAUACAGCCUGUUGCCAACAGAUAGACUGAAAAAAGUAACCCUCCUAACUCACCAGGCAGAACUCAGGGAGGUCUUGCCACGAUGUUGGGAACUCCUAAUUAGCCCUCUGCUGAGCACUGCUCAGGACCACUGAACAAAUCAUUAAAGCAACACCAGAAAUGAUCAAACUUUCCAAGUAAAUAAAUGCAUCCCUGAGCAAAGCUCAAAAUUAAAGAAAACACAAAAAAAUAUCCAGCAACCAAACAAGGUAAUAUUCACACUGGCCAUUCCAUCCAAGAUUUUGAGGUAUGCAAAGCAGCAGGAGAAAUGACCCUUAAUGAGGAGACAGUUCAGUCAUCUGAAAAUGACCCAAAGCUGACACAGAUGGGAGAAUCACCAGAGGAAGACAUUAAGGUGUUUCUUAUAACUGCAUUCCAUCAGUUCAGAAUGUUCAACAGGUAAAUGGAAAAUGUGAAAAAGACCCAAUCUCCUGUUAAGUGAUGAAAACCACAAUGCCUGAAGAGAAAUGUACUGCAAGGGGUUGACAGCAACAGAAAAUGCAGAAGAAGAACAUUUCAUAGGACUUGUUUUGAAUCUGCAGACCCCUUUGGUUAGUAUUGCCCCCCUCACUCUAUAAAAUCUAAUCCAUGAACACAGGAUGUCUUACUGUUUCUUUAGUUUUCUCUAAUCUCUUACAGCAGUGUUCUAUAGUUUUCAUUGUAAAGGUCUUUGCCUCCUUGAAUCAGUUCAUUUCUAGAUAUUUUAUUGUUUUGGGUGCUAUUAUAAGUGCAGUUGUUUUCUUAAUUUCCUUUUCAGAUUGGUCUUUGUUAGUGUAGAGAAACACAACUGAAUUUUGUCUAUCUUGUCCUCUGCAACUUUACAGAAUUAGUUUAUUGACUCUAGUAUUUUUGUUUGUGAAGUACUUGGGAUUUUUCUCUAAAUAGGAGGAUGCCUUCCACAAAUAGAGAUAAUUUUAUUUAUUCCUUUCCACACUACUUUUGCUCAACUUCAAUUCUGAAAUAUAUUUGGGCUGGGUGUGGAAGCCUACACCUGCCACAGGCCACCCGUGGAUUUUUGGGUCAGAGAUGAACAGUGACAGGAGGUUGCCUAUUUUGGGUCACCUCAGCCCGGGGUCUUGGAUAAUCACACACAGCCUGGCCAGGGAAUUAGAGACCAGCAGGAGUCCUUGUUCUUUGCAACCACCUCAAAAGGCAAGGACCAAAAGACCCCUUGAGGCCCCUACAGGGAGGGUUUCUGCCCUCCCCCCGACCUGGAGAUGGCCCAGAAGUGAGAAGUCAGAAAAGGGAAGGGGACUGGGGUGGCUGCUGACUCCAGGCCAUGGGUGCCCCUGAAAGCUGUGCCUCAUUCCACCUGUAGAGAGCUCAUUCAAGCAGGGGCCACGGUCAAGCAAUAAAGCAAGCAGUUAAAAAUAAUGCAGCUGGGAGGCACUGCCAGGACUAGCAUCAGCUGACACCUCAGAACUGACAAUACUUAGAAACAGGAGGGGGCCAAGACAGAUUAAAUCCCUUUAAAAAGGGGAGGAUUUUUGCAGCAAACUGUCAAACUCUUCAGACAUGACCUCUCUAUGUUGGACCACUUCUAAAAGGCAGCUGCCACUGAAGGCUCUGCCCAGUUGAUCCUCAAACAGAGCUGAGAUCCUUCACUGCUUGAACAUAAUAAGCAGUAAGUGCCACGAGCUGUCCUGGACCGGACCAAGGCCAGAAGGACUGCGUGCCCACAGACUGACUUCUACAACUUCUAUUACCUUGUUUGUUGUAUGGUUUGUCUUAUGUUCUGCUCUGUGUGCUGGGUAAGAAGCCAAGUUUAAUCACGUGGUGAAACUGAAUUUGGAACCCUGAAAGUGCUUUAUAAUUGUGAUUAACUUUGCUUUAUGAUCGAAUAAAGCUGACAUUGUGGAAAGACA